rnacentral:rRNA from 1 species
GACGAACGCUGGCGGCGUGCCUAAUACAUGCAAGUCGAACGCAGUGGGGACGGGUGUGUAACCCGUGGGUAACCUCCCCAUCAGAGGGGAUAACACUUGGAAACCGGUGCUAAACCGAUACUGAUGGAUGGUCCCGCGGUGCAUUGGCUAGUUGGUGAGGUAACGGCUCACCAAGGCCACGAUGCAUCGACGAUCUGCAAUGGUGUGUGGCCAAACUGGGACUGAGACACGGCCCAGAAUCCGACGGGAGGCAGCAGUAGGGAAUCUUCGGCAAUGGACGAAAUUCUGACCGAGCAACGCCGCGUGAGUGAAGAAGGUUUUCGGAUCGUAAAACUCUGUUGUUAGAGAAGCGGUAUCUAACCAGAAAGCCACGGCUAACUACGCGCCAGCAGCCGCGGUAAGUC